rnacentral:lncRNA from 1 species
AUUAUAGGUGUCCUGAAUGGUAAUAGUAAGACCUUGAAAAUUCCCAAAUUCAAGGGCUGCCAACUUCUGAGGAUCCUGGUAGAGAACCAAGGACGGGUCAAUUUUUCAUGGAAAAUUCAGAAGCAGCAGAAAGGUGGGCUCUGGGCCUAAGAAGCAGGCUGUAAUUUCUCUUCAUAGUCACUUGGGC